rnacentral:lncRNA from 1 species
AUGUCGCAGGUGCACGUCCCAGUGCACGUCACAGUGCAUGUCGCAGGUGCACGUCGGUCCCGGGCCUCUCGGGCGGCCCUCGGCGGGCCCAGUCCCGGGGGCAGGUGUUCUUCCGAGAACCUUCUCCCGACGCCAGGUGAGGAGCCAGGGUGGCUUCCCGCGGCGCUAGCUCUGGGGAGGGCCGUGGAGCGGAAGGCCUCGCCGUCGCCGGGCGCCUUUCCUCCGUGGAGCCGAGAAACCGGAGGAUGGACUCCUCGGGAUUCUGAGCGAAUGGUCGGCAGGAGCGCUUGUCCUCCUCCUGGGGCUCGCACGGAGCGCCGCUGGGUCCCCCGGCUUCUCGCCCGGCGCGGGGGAGAGGGGCUCCCGGCCCAGGGGUUCAGCGAGAAAAGGAACCUCAUAAUCAACCAUACAUCUGUAAUGCCUCUUACAGUGUGUGAUGUCUCAGCCAACCGUUACCACUGACUUCCAUGGAUUACGGUACCUGCCACUCUGGCUUCAUUCUAACGUAUCUGAUGGCCGGAGCUUGAGCAGCCAGUGCACAGUGAGGAAGCUGUGAUGGAAGAAUAAGGUAAGAUGAACUUAGUUUUGAUUAGUUUGCCUUUGCAUGAGAAAUUAAAAAUCU